rnacentral:rRNA from 1 species
CCCUUAGAUGUUCUGGGCCGCACGCGCGCUACACUGAUGCAUUCAACAAGUUUUACCUUGGCCGAGAGGCCUGGGAAAUCUUUCAAAUAUGUAUCGUGAUAGGGAUAGAUUAUUGCAAUUAUUAAUCUUGAACGAGGAAUUCCUAGUAAAUGCAGAUCAUCAUUCUGCGUUGAUUACGUCCCUGCCCUUUGUACACACCGCCCGUCGCACCUACCGAUUGAAUGAUCCGGUGAAGCCUCGGGAUUGUGCCCAGAGAACUUUAUUUUGAUUUGGGUGUGAGAACUUGUCUAAACCUUAUCAUUUAGAGGAAGGUGAAGUCGUAACA